UGAGGGAAUAUUUGGGGUCAAUGGGCGCAAGCCUGAACCAGCCAAGUAGCGUGAAGGAUGACUGCCCUAUGGGUUGUAAACUUCUUUUAUGCGGGAAUAACCUCGACCAUGUAUGGUCGUUUGCAUGUACCGCAAGAAAAGCAUCGGCUAAUUCCGUGCCAGCAGCCGCGGUAAUACGGAAGAUGCGAGCGUUAUCCGGAUUUAUUGGGUUUAAAGGGAGCGUAGGCCGUCUUAUAAGCGUGUUGUGAAAUGUCGGGGCUCAACCUGGGCAUUGCAGCGCGAACUGUGAGACUUGAGUGCGCAGGAAGUAGGCGGAAUUCGUCGUGUAGCGGUGAAAUGCUUAGAUAUGACGAAGAACUCCGAUCGCGAAGGCAAGUGCCUGGAGUGCUACUGACGCUGA
rnacentral:rRNA from 1 species